CGGACGGGUGAGUAACACGUGGAUAACCUACCUAUAAGACUGGGAUAACUUCGGGAAACCGGAGCUAAUACCGGAUAAUAUUUUGAACCGCAUGGUUCAAAAGUGAAAGACGGUCUUGCUGUCACUUAUAGAUGGAUUCGCGCUGCAUUAGCUGGUUGGUAAGGUAACGGCUUACCAAGGCAACGAUGCAUAGCCGACCUGAGAGGGUGAUCGGCCACACUGGAACUGAGACACGGUCCAG
rnacentral:rRNA from 1 species